GACGAACGCUGGCGGCGUGCCUAAUACAUGCAAGUUGAGCGCUGAAGGUUGGUACUUGUACCGACUGGAUGAGCAGCGAACGGGUGAGUAACGCGUGGGGAAUCUGCCUUUGAGCGGGGGACAACAUUUGGAAACGAAUGCUAAUACCGCAUAAAAACUUUAAACACAAGUUUUAAGUUUGAAAGAUGCCAUUGCAUCACUCAAAGAUGAUCCCGCGUUGUAUUAGCUAGUUGGUGAGGUAAAGGCUCACCAAGGCGAUGAUACAUAGCCGACCUGAGAGGGGGGUCGGCCCACUCGGGACUGGGACACGGCCCAAACUCCUACGGGAGGCAGCAGUAGGGGAACUUCGGGAAUGGGCGGAAGUCUGACCGGGCAACGCCGGGGGAGUGAAGAAGGUUUUCGGAUCGUAAAACUCUGUUGGUAGGGAAGAACGUUGGUGGGAGUGGAAAGCGCAUGAAGUGACGGUAACUACCCAGAAAGGGACGGCUAACUACGUG
rnacentral:rRNA from 1 species